rnacentral:rRNA from 1 species
AUGAAAGCUGGAACUAGCAUCUUUUUUUGCUACUACUAUCUUGGUUUUGCUGGCCAACUGAAUUUUGCUACCACCGUCUUCAAUUUUUGCUGGAACCAGCAAUCUUUUUGUUACCACUAUCUUUUGUUUUUGCUGGAACUAGACCCAAUCUUGCUUCCAUCGCCUUCGAUUUUUGCUGGAACCAGUAAUAUUUUUUGCUACCACUAUCUUUUGUUUUUACUGGAACCAGCCCCAAUUUUGCUUCAACCGCCAUCGACUUUUGCUGGAACCAGCAAUCCGUUCUUUGCUACCAUCAGCUUUGUCCGGAAGCGACACCGCCAUCGCCAUUGA